UGUGGUCCUUUAACUGUUAGGGCGAC
rnacentral:piRNA from 1 species